rnacentral:rRNA from 1 species
AUGUCUUCUUGUUUUAUUAAUAUAAGAAGUCCGGCCUGCCCGGUGAAUUUUCAACGGCCGCGGUACUCUGACCGUGCGAAGGUAGCAUAAUCAUUUGUCUUAUAAUGAAGUCUAGUAUGAAUGGUUCAACGAGAAUAAAGCUGUCUCUAGCAUUUUAAUAAAAUUUUAUGAUUAAGUUAAAAAGCUUAGAUGAAAUUAAUAGACGAGAAGACCCUAUCGAGCUUUAGGAAUUAUUCAGGUUUCUUGACAUUAAUGAAAUAGGAACACUUGUUUUAACUUUGGUUGGGGCGACCUGAGAACAAAUAAAGCUUCUCAUUACCAUUGAAACUUAUUGGUUUAUGAUCCACUAUUAGUGAUCAAAAGAAUUAGUUACCGUAGGGAUAACAGCAUAAUCUUUUUUGAGAGCUCAUAUCGAAAAAAAGGUUUGUGACCUCGAUGUUGGACCAAAAUAACCUAAAGAUGUAGAAGUCUUUAAGGGUUGGUCUGUUCGACCAUUAAAAUUUUACGUGAUCUGAGUUCAGACCGG